rnacentral:rRNA from 1 species
ACGGGAGGCAGCAGUGGGGAAUAUUGCACAAUGGGCGCAAGCCUGAUGCAGCAACGCCGCGUGAAGGAAGACGGUUUUCGGAUUGUAAACUUCUGUUCUUAGCGAAGAACAAUGACGGUAGCUAAGGAGCAAGCCACGGCUAACUACGUGCCAGCAGCCGCGGUAAUACGUAGGUGGCAAGCGUUGUCCGGAAUUACUGGGUGUAAAGGGAGCGCAGGCGGGAAAGCAAGUCAGCUGUGAAAUCCAUGGGCUUAACCCAUGAACUGCAGUUGAAACUGUUUUUCUUGAGUGAAGUAGAGGUUGGCGGAAUUCCGAGUGUAGCGGUGAAAUGCGUAGAUAUUCGGAGGAACACCGGUGGCGAAGGCGGCCAACUGGGCUUUUACUGACGCUGAGGCUCGAAAGUGUGGGGAGCAAACAGGAUUAGAUACCCUGGUA